UUAUACAAAGUUAUUUAACAAUGCAAAACACUUCUCCCUACUCAUUUGUUUAGUGCUCUUGGGCUAGGUUAGCUUGGUUUUCAAGAGAAGGGUUCGAACCCAAAUUCUCUCUCUCUUAAAACCAAGUAUUGCUCUCUCUCUCUCUCUCUCUCUCUCUCUCUCUAGGCUUGCAAUUCCACAACUUUACUUCCUUGCAAAUUGAGUUUCAAUGGAGGAAGUUUCUAGGAAAUUGUUUGCAUGCAAGUUUUGUGAGAAACAAUUUCCUAGUAAGAGCAGUCUCAAUGGGCAUAUGCAUGUUCAUCCUGAGAGGCGUCUUGUUUGGUGGUAUGAAAAACCUAAGAGACGCAUCAAGAAACAAAUCCCUAAGGAGGAGGAAGCCCACAAAGAGGAAACUUUAGAUCUCACAUUACGUUUAUAAAAUAAAUAGUUUUAUAGUAUACAACAUAAAAAAAAAAAACGAAAAUUGUUGUAUGGUAUAUAAUCCCAUAAAAUUUGAGGGGCUUAAGUUAAGUAGUUGUGUGUAACUUGGGGUGUCAUGUGUUUGUUUAGAGGUGGGUAUUGUGUUUAAUGUAAGCAUAAAACAACUCUUUUGUAUGGACUUGAGAUGAGGUGGGUAUUCUGUUUAAUGUAAGCAUAAAACAACUAUUUAAGUGUUCGUAUGGACUAGAGG
rnacentral:lncRNA from 1 species